UCCUAGCUGUAAACGAUGAGCACUUGUUCGAGGGGGCUUCCACACCCUCUCGGACGUAGCGAAAGUGUUAAGUGCUCCGCCUGGGGAGUAUGGUCGCAAGGCUAAAACUCAAAGGAAUUGACGGGGGCUCACACAAGCGGUGGAGGAUGUGGCUUAAUUCAAGGCUACGCGAAGAACCUUAUCCUGGUCUUGACAUGUUUAAGAAUCUUCCUGAAAGGGAAGAGUGCCUUCGGGAGCUUUUACACAGGUGCUGCAUGGCUGUCGUCAGCUCGUGUCGUGAGAUGGUCGGG
rnacentral:rRNA from 1 species